ACCUUAUAGUAGUCCAUUAUCUCUACAUGGAUCCUCACCCGUUGAAGAUAUUGCGGGGACAGAUACACAUGCAUCUCCUAUGAGUCCACCUAUGAGUCAACGUCAUCAUCGGGAUUCAUCGCCUGGUCUAGACAAUCAUCAUGAUGGAUCCAGUGAUGACGAGAUCCAACACGAGUCUUUUGCGAGAUCUUCUCAGUCGGAAGUUGAAU